CAUCCAGCGAACUUUCCAGAGAUGGAUUGGUGCCUUCGGGAACGCUGAGACAGGUGCUGCAUGGCUGUCGUCAGCUCGUGUUGUGAAAUGUUGGGUUAAGUCCCGCAACGAGCGCAACCCUUAUCCUUUGUUGCCAGCGAUUCGGUCGGGAACUCAAAGGAGACUGCCGGUGAUAAACCGGAGGAAGGUGGGGAUGACGUCAAGUCAUCAUGGCCCUUACGAGUAGGGCUACACACGUGCUACAAUGGCGCAUACAAAGAGAAGCGACCUCGCGAGAGCAAGCGGACCUCAUAAAGUGCGUCGUAGUCCGGAUCGGAGUCUGCAACUCGACUCCGUGAAGUCGGAAUCGCUAGUAAUCGUGGAUCAGAAUGCCACGGUGAAUACGUUCCCGGGCCUUGUACACACCGCCCGUCACACCAUGGGAGUGGGUUGCAAAAGAAGUAGGUAGCUUAACCUUCGGGAGGGCGCUUACCACUUUGUGAUUCAUGACUGGGGUGAAGUCGUAACAAGGUAGGCGUAGCGAG
rnacentral:rRNA from 1 species